rnacentral:rRNA from 1 species
UGAACUUAAGCAUAUCAAUAAGCGGAGGAAAAGAAACUAACAAGGAUUCCCCUAGUAACGGCGAGCGAACCGGGAAGAGCUCAAAUUUGAAAUCUGGCGUCCCACGGGCGUCCGAGUUGUAAUCUGCAGAGGCGUCUUCCGCCCCGGACCGCGUCCAAGUCCCUUGGAACAGGGUAUCAAAGAGGGUGACAAUCCCGUGCUUGACGCGACCCCCGGUGCUAUGUGAUGCGACCUCAAAGAGUCGAGUUGUUUGGGAAUGCAGCUCAAAACGGGUGGUAAAUUCCAUCUAAGGCUAAAUAUUGGCGAGAGACCGAUAGCGAACAAGUACCGUGAGGGAAAGAUGAAAAGCACUUUGGAAAGAGAGUUAAACAGUACGUGAAAUUGUUGGAAGGGAAACGAUUGAAGUCAGUCGUGUCCGAGGGGUUCAGCCGGUCCUGCCGGUGCACUCCCCUCGGACGGGUCAACAUCGGUUCUGUCCGGCGGACAAGGGCAGGGGGAACGUGGCACCCUCGUGGUGUGUUAUAGCCCCCCGUCGCAUACGUCGGUCGGGACCGAGGAUCGCAGCUCGCCCUCACGGGCCGGGGUUCGCCCACGUCCGAGCUUAGGAUGUUGACGUAAUGGCUUUAAACGACCCGUCU